rnacentral:rRNA from 1 species
AGAGUUUGAUCAUGGCUCAGAACGAACGCUGGCGGCAGGCUUAACACAUGCAAGUCGAGCGCCCCGCAAGGGGAGCGGCAGACGGGUGAGUAACGCGUGGGAACGUACCCAGCUCUACGGAAUAACUCAGGGAAACUUGUGCUAAUACCGUAUACGUCCGAGAGGAGAAAGAUUUAUCGGAGUUGGAUCGGCCCGCGUUG